rnacentral:rRNA from 1 species
GACGAACGCUGGCGGCGUGCCUAACACAUGCAAGUCGAACGAGGUCCAUCCCGUGGCAACACGGGUGAAGACCUAGUGGCGAACGGGUGAGUAACACGUGAGGAACCUGCCCCGAAGACCGGGAUAACCCUCCGAAAGGAGAGCUAAUACCGGAUACCCCCACCUGGCCGCAUGACCGGGUGAGGAAAUGGAUUCCGCUUCGGGAGGGCCUCGCGGCCUAUCAGCUUGUUGGUGGGGUAACGGCCCACCAAGGCAUCGACGGGUAGCUGGUCGGAGAGGACGAUCCGCCACACUGGGACUGAGACACGGCCCAGACUCCUACGGGAGGCAGCAGUGGGGAAUCUUGCGCAAUGGGCGAAAGCCUGACGCAGCAACGCCGCGUGGGGGAUGAAGGCUCUCGGGUUGUAAACCCCUUUCAGCAGGGACGAAUCAAGACGGUACCUGCAGAAGAAGCCCCGGCUAACUACGUGCCAGCCGCCGCCUAAGAC